ACAGUGGUCGUUCAGUGGUAGAAUUCCCACCUUCUAUUCAGGAGACCUAGGUUUGAUUCCUGGCCAAUGCA
rnacentral:tRNA from 1 species